CUCUCUCUCCAAACGCAACAACAUCGGUCUGCCUGCUUUGCUGCCCUUCUCUUGAACGACGGUACUUGUUCUCUCUUUCUCAAUUUAUUGGGGGUUUUUUUUUUUUUUUUUGGUGUUUUUCACUUUUGAAUUCAUUUGCACACACUUAUCAAAACCCUAGAGAAACUCUCAUAAACCCUAGAAAAGCUCUCGGAAACCCUAGAGGACACCGAUCAGAAAAUGGAAUGGAACGCUGAAACCCUACAAUUCCUCUCCCAAUGCUUCCUCCAUACGCUUUCUCCAAAUCCCGAGCCUCGCCGCCGCGCCGAAUCAUCUCUCUCCGAAGCUGCUGACCGGCCCAACUACGGCCUCGCUGUCCUCCGCCUUGUCGCUGAGCCCUCCGUCGAUGGGCAGAUCCGCCAGAGCGCCGCCGUCAACUUCAAGAACCACCUCCGUGUUAGGUGGUCGACAGAGGUGUCAAGGGAGCCGAAUGCUGUGACCCUAAUCUCAAUUCCUGAGUCCGAAAAGGAGCAAAUCAAAACCCUAAUUGUCCCUCUCAUGCUCUCCGCCACUCCCCGAAUUCAGAGUCAGCUCAGUGAAGCCCUUUCGCUGAUCGGGAAACAUGAUUUCCCGAAAAAAUGGCCUUCAUUAUUGCCUGAGCUCGUGUCAAGUCUUCGAACUGCAUCACAAUCAUCUGAUUACGCCACCAUCAAUGGAAUUCUCGGUACCGCAAAUUCGAUAUUCAAGAAGUUUAGGUACCAAUACAAGACCAAUGAUCUUCUUCUUGAUUUGAAGUAUUGCCUCGACAAUUUUGCAGCGCCUUUAUUAGAAAUCUUUCUCAAAACUGCCGCAUUAAUUGAUUCCGUGGUUAACUCCGGAGGUCCUGCUGUGGCAGCCACCCUCCGGCCUCUGAUUGAAUCCCAGAGGCUAUGUUGUAGAAUAUUUUAUUCUUUAAAUUUUCAAGAAUUACCCGAGUUUUUUGAGGAUCACAUGAAAGAGUGGAUGGGUGAGUUUAAAAAAUACCUCACUAUGAGGUAUCCAGCUCUUGAAGAGGGCAGUGGGGAUGGGCUUGCAGUUGUUGAUGAGCUUCGAGCUGCAGUAUGUGAGAAUAUUAGUCUUUAUAUUGAGAAAAAUGAGGAGGAGUUUCAGGAGUACUUGAAUGAUUUUGCACUUGCUGUGUGGAGCUUACUCACGACUGUUUCAGCAUCUUCUAGCCGUGACCGGCUUACCAUUACUGCAAUUAAGUUUUUGACUACUGUUAGUACAAGUGUGCACCACACAUUGUUUGCAGCUGAUAAUGUGAUAUCUCAGAUUUGUCAGGGCAUUGUGAUUCCAAAUGUGCGGUUAAGGGAUGAAGAUGAGGAGCUUUUUGAGAUGAACUAUGUUGAGUUUGUUAGGAGGGAUAUGGAAGGGAGCGAUCUUGAUACAAGGAGGAGGAUUGCUUGUGAACUUCUCAAAGGGAUUGCUACGAAUUAUAAGGAAAGGGUGACUGCUAUUGUUUCAGUACAGAUCCAAAAUAUGUUAGGCUCCUUUGCUACGAACCCAGCUGUGAAUUGGAAGGAUAAGGACUGUGCCAUAUACUUGGUUGUCUCACUUGCCACUAAGAAGGCUGGGGGUAAUUCUGUCUCAACUGACCUAGUCAAUGUUGAGAGUUUCUUUGGAUCAGUUAUUGUUCCAGAGUUGAAGAGUCAGGAUGUGAAUGGGUUCCCGAUGCUCAAGGCAGGUGCACUUAAGUUCUUUACAAUGUUUCGAAAUCAGAUAUCAAAGCCCAUUGCAAUUGCAUUGGUUCCAGAUGUGGUUCGAUUCCUUGGUUCAGAGUCAAAUGUCGUCCAUUCAUAUGCUGCAAAUUGCAUUGAGAAACUCUUGCUGGUCAAGGAAGAGGGAGGAAUGGCAAGAUACACUUCCUCGGAUAUUAGUCCAUUUUUGCCAGUUCUGAUUGGCAAUCUUUUUAAUGCUUUGAAGUUUCCAGAUUCUGAGGAGAAUCAAUACAUCAUGAAGUGUAUCAUGCGGGUUCUUGGAGUUGCUGACAUCACUCGUGAGGUUGCUGGUCCUUGCAUCUUGGAGUUGACUAAUGUUCUUGCUGAAGUUUGCAAAAACCCAAAAAAUCCAGUCUUUAAUCACUAUCUGUUUGAAGCCGUUGCAGUUCUUGUUAGGCGGGCCUGUGAAAAGGACGCAUCUCUCAUAUCUGCCUUUGAAGGAAGCCUCUUUCCCAGCCUCCAAACCAUCCUGGUUAACGAUGUAACAGAGUUUUUCCCUUAUGCGUUCCAACUAUUAGCUCAGCUUGUUGAGUUGAAUAGACCACCCAUCCCACCCAGCUACAUGCAAAUAUUUGAACUCCUCUUGUCACCUGAUUCAUGGCGAAAAACUGCAAAUGUUCCUGCCCUAGUGCGUCUGCUUCAGGCCUUCCUUCAGAAGGCGCCCCAUGAGCUUAACAGAGAGGGGAGGCUUAGCCAGGUACUUGGAAUAUUUGAAAGGCUUAUCUCAUCUCAUACAACAGAUGAACAGGGCUUCUAUGUGCUCAACACUGUGAUUGAGAAUCUCGGAUAUGAAGUUAUUGCGCCCUAUGUGAGUCACAUCUGGGCUACCCUAUUUGGACGGCUUCAAAAGAACAGGACAGUAAAGUUUGUGAAGUCUUUCCUGAUAUUUAUGUCUUUGUUUCUGGUCAAGCAUGGCUCCACAAACCUUGUGGAUUCGAUCAAUGCUGUUCAGCCCAAUAUAUUUCUUGUGAUUUUGGAGCAGUUCUGGAUACCAAAUCUUAAGCUGAUUACAGGAGCUAUUGAGCUGAAGUUAACUUCAGUUGCUUCAACCCGGCUUCUUUGCGAAUCUCCAGCACUCUUGGAUCCUACAUCUGUUAAACAAUGGGGGAAAUUACUGGAUAGCAUUAUUACCCUUCUUUCACGGCCAGAACAGGAUAGAGUUGAGGUGGAACCAGAAGUUCUGGAUAUCGGGGAGACUAUGGUUUAUGCUGCCACCUACGUCCCACUUCAGAAUGCUGGGAGGAAAGAGGAGGAUCCUUUAAAGGAAAUAAAGGAUCCGAAGGAAUUCUUGGUUGCUUCAUUGGCAAAUCUUUCUGCUCAUUCCCCCGGACGGUAUCCUCAAAUCAUCAAUGAGAAUCUUGAUCAAGCUAAUCAAACUGCAUUACUUCAACUUUGUGGUACUUAUAAGCUCCCCAUUGUUUAAGAUCUUAUGCAACCAUGAAGUAUGGGCCUUGUCUUGAGGUCACAAUAUCAGUCCUCCUCAGCAUGCAUUUGUGAUCAAAUGGUAUUUUUGCAUUGCGGUUGAUUAGUUUAGACAGUUGUCUUUGAACUUCUCAGGAUCCUCUGCAGUAAUGAAGUAGGCUUCUUUUGCAGUCAUAAUUUUUCACCGAGUCCUGCCCCCCAUGCAUGUUCUCCACUGCAGUUCCACAUACCUGCCCUGCAGUUCAAACGUUAUUCUCCUUGUUUGUUGUCCCUGUUCACCAGAGUUGUAUUCAGCGGGAAUCUGUGAGCAAAUGUUUCGAGUUUUGGGAGCUAAACUUUCAUGUUACAGUUGUCUUUGAUCAACUGAUUACACACCCAUCAUGCAAUUUAUCAGUUGGCUAUGAUAUACAUACUCAAAUGUGAGUUCUACUGUGUGAUUAGCUCAUUAGACUGAAGACUGAGCUUGAAUAAUUUUGCAUGUCUGGCAAAGAUAAAGUACUUCAGUUUUGUGUUAUUCGGUCUUCUCUCAUUGAGCAUUGGGCUUAUAAUUUGUAUUCAGUUAAUCUUUUGCAUUAUCCCCUCCAUUAGGUUUAUCGA